rnacentral:rRNA from 1 species
UACGGAGGGUGCAAGCGUUAUUCGGAAUUACUGGGCGUAAAGCGCGUGCAGGCGGGUGUACAAGUCUGAUGUGAAAGCCCCGGGCUCAACCUGGGAAGUGCAUUGGAAACUGUACAUCUUGAGUGCUGGAGAGGAAGGGGGAAUUCCCGGUGUAGAGGUGAAAUUCGUAGAGAUCGGGAGGAAUACCAGUGGCGAAGGCGCCCUUCUGGACGGCAACUGACGCUGAGACGCGAAAGCGUGGGGAGCAAACAGG